rnacentral:rRNA from 1 species
UGGGGAAUAUUGGACAAUGGGCGAAAGCCUGAUCCAGCCAUGCCGCGUGUGUGAAGAAGGUCUUCGGAUUGUAAAGCACUUUAAGUUGGGAGGAAGGGCAGUAAGCGAAUACCUUGCUGUUUUGACGUUACCGUCAGAAUAAGCACCGGCUAACUCUGUGCCAGCAGCCGCGGUAAUACAGAGGGUGCAAGCGUUAAUCGGAAUUACUGGGCGUAAAGCGCGCGUAGGUGGUUCGUUAAGUUGAAUGUGAAAGCCCCGGGCUCAACCUGGGAACUGCAUCCAAAACUGGCGAGGUAGAGGAGGGCAGAGGGUGGUGGAAUUUCCUGUGGAGCGGUGAAAUGCGUAGAUAUAGGAAGGAACACCAGUGGCGAAGGCGACCACCUGGGCUCAUACUGACACUGAGGGGCGAAAGCGUGGGGAGCAAACAGG